CUGCCGCUCUCGGCUCAAUCGCACUUUUGUUUUUGUUUUGUUGAUGGACGAGAAAUGCGCAACAGUUGCGUGUAAAUUGAAGAAUAAAAGAAUCGCGCAGAAUGCAGCAUAAUUCGAUGGUAAUCGUACUGUAAUAUCUGAGUAUGGAUUAUCGCGAGAAAGUGAGUCGUAGGUUGUGCAAUGUAGCAGGUCUUAAUUUGUGAUAUGCGAGGUAAUUGGAACAUUCCAUUAUACCUUAAUUUGCCGUAAAAGUUGCCCCUUACUGUUUGGAAUAAGUCCCGGAAAUAGGUUUUGCGCAUCAACGCCUCAAACGAUCUUUUGACUGGCUAACGCCGAAUCCGGAAAUCUUCCGUAAAAUAUCACACUGACUUCCCACCACCAUGACCUUUACGCAACCGUCGAUUCCGACCUGUUUGGCUCACCUCAUCCUGGCAGGAGUCACGGGGUGGUCCUUAAAACAUCUGCCUAUCGGUCACGAGAGCAGUCAUUCCACAACUAGUGGUGAUGAUUUGGUUCCGCUUAUGUUGGUUUUGUUAGUCUUCCUACUAGGUCACAGUUUGCUAGGAAUAUUCCGUCACAGUCAUCCGGAUCCCCAUAAAAAUCUUCGGAAAAUGUAUGAACUGUCGGUCAUGCUGGCCAUGAUUCUCCCGUUACCGCUGCUGAACACUCAACUUUACCUCAAAUAUCAACUGGGAAAUGGAUCUCAUCUGCCUCUUUAUAGUUAUCUAUCAAUGAGUACAUUCCUACCAUUCCUGAUUGGGUGUCUGUAUUCGGAACUGAGUCAACGGCAUAAGAGUCAAUAUGUAACAACCGUAGUCACCGUUGUGAAUUUGACCGUACUCUUGUGGAUCUCAGCUUUCAACGAAAACUACUGGGGCAUCGGUUUAGCUGUUUCAUAUGGAAUGAAAUAUUUCACCCUACCUCGACUGGCCGAUCGAUACAACGUACCAUUCGUUGAUCUCCACACCUAUGGAUUGGGAUUUUUCGAGAUCUUUGCGAUCAAUGUUAUAAUCGAUGCCGAUCUAUAUCGGACUGAGUUAGUCAUCCAGUGAUGAAGUCUACUAUAGUGCAGUUACCAACAAACGAUCAAGUUUGCCUUACAAAACUGAAUCAAAUCGCUUAUUCCAGUAACUUUUUAUACUAGAAUGUAGGACGAAAAAUGUUAUUAUAUAUUUUUAUAUACAUUUGUAUACAUGCUGAAAGGAAAUAUUAUUAUAAGCUUUAAAAAUGAGACUUUUGAAUCGUGUCUAAUUCAUGUUAGAAUUAGAUAGUGAAUGCAAACUAAAUAGCUUGAAAUCAUCUAUUGUCAUAUAUAUAGCUACUUACCAUAGUAUAGUUGGAUUAUUGGCAAAAAUAAAAAAAAAUAAAUAUACAGCCGAGACAUAACCAGUAGAAUGUAGUAAUAGUUUACACAGCUCUAUUCAUAUACAAUGUUUACUGCGUAAGUAAAUCUUUUAUUAUUAUAUUAUAUUUAGCCAAACCGAUAGCACAAGAUA